GUAAGCUGAGGUCGCCAGGCAACUUUGGAUCAGUCAGCUAACUACAAGAGACGCACUCUUCGAGCUCAGCGCAGCCCAGCCCAGGUAUAUUGUUGAAACUCUGAUUAUAUCACUCAUGAGUAAUUUCCCUGGACUAAAAAAAUCUCCAUGUGUCAGCCUCCACGUACGAAGCACUUGAAUCAUGUACUUGAAUACGAGUAUCUUGAAUCCGAAGCACUUGAAUCCAGGCAUCUGCUUAAGAAUAUUGACUGAAAUCAUACCAGAAGAAAACAAUGAAGGAAAAGUAACAGAAAAGCCUGGCCACUCAGCUAGAAACCACAUAUAUUCCUCGUCUUCCUUCACGGCUGGGUAUGGAGAGUUCUGGCCAAUGGAAUGCAACUCCUAGGUCAUCUCCAUCUAAGAGGUCAAGCCAUACGCCCUUCCUUUCCUUUCCCUAUGAGCUGAAACAUGGAUGUGCCUAGGACUCAGCUUCAACCACAGACAGAAAGAUAAUACCCAAGGAGUUAGUGGGGUCAUACGAUGGACAACUCCUACUCCUUGACUGGUCACAUGGGACAGAACCACCACACCUGCCUCAGCUGUCACCUGGGUCCUGUCACAUCAAAGGCAAGCAAACUGUCUCAUUAUUCUACUGCACUUCAGGAGUUUCUUCUUUAUGACAGCUUAAUUCUUAUCCUACCUAGCAGAAGGC
rnacentral:lncRNA from 1 species